rnacentral:tRNA from 1 species
GAUCGGCGCGAUGCUGCUGGCGUUCUUCAUGCAGAGCUCCAUCCUGCACCUGGCGGUGUCUGCUGGUUUCACCA